rnacentral:rRNA from 1 species
GAUGAACGCUGGCGGCGUGCCUAAUACAUGCAAGUCGAGCGAACGGACGAGAAGCUUGCUUCUCUGAUGUUAGCGGCGGACGGGUGAGUAACACGUGGAUAACCUACCUAUAAGACUGGGAUAACUUCGGGAAACCGGAGCUAAUACCGGAUAAUAUUUUGAACCGCAUGGUUCAAAAGUGAAAGACGGUCUUGCUGUCACUUAUAGAUGGAUCCGCGCUGCAUUAGCUAGUUGGUAAGGUAACGGCUUACCAAGGCAACGAUGCAUAGCCGACCUGAGAGGGUGAUCUGCCACACGGGAACUGAGACACGGCCCAGACUCCUACGGGAGGCAGCAGUAGGGAAUCUUCCGCGAUGGGCGAAAGCCUGACGGAGCAACGCCGCGUGAGUGAUGAAGGUCUGCGGAUCGUAAAACUCUGUUAUUAGGGAAGAGCAUAUGUGUAAGUAACUGUGCACAUCUUGACGGUACCUAAUCAGAAAGCCACGGCUAACUACGUG